UACGUAGGUGACAAGCGUUAUCCGGAUUUAUUGGGUGUAAAGGGCGUGUAGGCGGGAGCGCAAGUCAGAUGUGAAAACUCAGGGCUCAACCCUGAGCCUGCAUUUGAAACUGUGUUUCUUGAGUGCUGGAGAGGCAAUCGGAAUUCCGUGUGUAGCGGUGAAAUGCGUAGAUAUACGGAGGAACACCAGUGGCGAAGGCGGAUUGCUGGACAGUAACUGACGCUGAGGCGCGAAAGCGUGGGGAGCAAACAGG
rnacentral:rRNA from 1 species